rnacentral:rRNA from 1 species
AUUGAACGCUGGCGGCAUGCCUUACACAUGCAAGUCGAACGGUAACAGGUUAAGCUGACGAGUGGCGAACGGGUGAGUAAUACAUCGGAACGUGCCCAGACGUGGGGGAUAGCUCGGCGAAAACCGGAUUAAUACCGCAUAAGCUCUGAGGAGGAAAGCGGGGGACCGUAAGGCCUCGCGCGUUUGGAGCGGCCGAUGGCAGAUUAGGUAGUUGGUGGGGUAAAGGCUUACCAAGCCUACGAUCUGUAGCUGGUCUGAGAGGACGACCAGCCACACUGGGACUGAGACACGGCCCAGACUCCUACGGGAGGCAGCAGUGGGGAAUUUUGGACAAUGGGCGCAAGCCUGAUCCAGCAAUGCCGCGUGCAGGAUGAAGGCCUUCGGGUUGUAAACUGCUUUUGUACGGAACGAAAAGGCGCCUACUAAUACUGGGUGUUGAUGACGGUACCGUAAGAAUAAGCACCGGCUAACUACGUGCCAGCAGCCGCCGUAAAAC